rfam:Ruminococcus torques L2-14 draft genome.
GAAAGGGUAUGUAGUUUCCGUACAUACCUGGGCUGGGAUAUCGGAAGGAUACAUUCCGGUAGGAUGCAGCAGUAAAUGAGUUACACCAGACUUCAUUUAUAAAAAGAAGAGACUCAUUUCGCAUUCGCAGCCUCAAUUAGG